UUGCCAGACUCCUACGGGAGGCAGCAGUAGGGAAUUUUGCGCAAUGGGGGAAACCCUGACGCAGCAACGCCGCGUGAUUGAUGAAGCCCUUCGGGGUGUAAAGAUCUGUCAGUGGGGACGAAACUUGAUGGUACCCACAGAGGAAGCAUCGGCCAACUCCGUGCCAGCAGCCGCGGUAAUACGGAGGAUGCGAGCGUUAUCCGGAUUUAUUGGGUUUAAAGGGUGCGUAGGCGGGACGUUAAGUCAGCGGUAAAAAUGCGGAGCUCAACUCCGUCGAGCCGUUGAAACUGCCGUUCUUGAGUGAGCGAGAAGUAUGCGGAAUGCGUGGUGUAGCGGUGAAAUGCAUAGAUAUCACGCAGAACUCCGAUUGCGAAGGCAGCAUACCGGCGCUCAACUGACGCUGAAGCACGAAGGCGUGGGUAUCGAACAGGAUUAGAUACCCUGGUA
rnacentral:rRNA from 1 species